ensembl:lncRNA
AUGGGUGUGUGUCCAUGGGCCGCCAGGGUUCCCUUUCAGCCUGUUUCUCGGCAGGUGAACCAAGAGCCACACCCAAGGCAGGAGAGCGAGCGUAAUGAGCCCCCGCCCCUCUCCAGCCGGUGGACGUUCCCCUGCCGCUCUCACGCAGGACGCCUGAUCUCACUGCCUGUGACGCCCACGCGGAAGCCCUGUGGGCGGCCCUGGGCUCCCAAGAAGAGCCUUGCUGAGCUCCUGGGAAGAGGCGUGCCCUCCCCAUCCCCCACUGCCCCCUUGGCUAGGGUUCUCUGCAGCCCAGGACUGUGCACGUGUGUGCACAUGGGUUCUGUGCACAUGAACACAAAAGUGUACUCCUGGACAAUGCUUGGUACUGUGUGCACACAGUGCACGUGUGUGCCUGGACGCCAGGUGAGAGUGCAAAAGUGUGUGCCAGGCUUGAGCAUGGGAGCAGUAGUAUAUGGCACAAAUUGUGUGCACACGUGUGGGAGGGAAGAGGGCCACACUCCCACCAGCAUGUAUGUGCUCAGGCCGGCCUGUCCUGGGCCCACCCAGGCUCCUUGCUCUGGUGUACUUGAGUCUCACCUUGCCCCAGGAGGCAGUGGCAUGUGCAUAUCUCACCGCCCAGCCAGGAUUUGGACGGGCUUCACUCUUCUCCACACAGCUGGAGUGCAAGGAGGCCUCCUUUGUGCCUUCGACACAGAACCCCAAUUUUGUUCAAGGCAUCAAUGUACCCAGCCUCGCCAGCAGCUGGGGCCAGCUGUGACACAGUUUGCCCAGGGGAUGACUGCAGGAAACACGAGGGAGCCUCCUGGCCCUUUGGAAGGCGCACAUGUAGGCGCCCUCACUGAUGGCCUUCCUUUCUCCUUGCUCCAGCCUGGAGUGUGGUCACUGUGUCCCAAGAACAGCAGCCAUGUGUCCAGCAAGGGCCAGGGUCCCAGCAGCUGCCUUGGUGCUCCAAGGGCCACCCUCAGACUCACCACCAUCAGGAAAAUAAGCCCUUGUUCCCUUUACAGGACUGCCUCAUUAGAUUUCGUUAGGUUUUCUAUAACUCAAGCCAAUGUGAGGGAUCUGUGGGGAUCGCUCCCAUGUGAGGCCCCUAGGAAAUGGGCCUCGCCAUACGGUGAGCUUGAGCCCAGACGCAGAUCCCCGGUUGGGGGAGUCGAGCUGAGGGAAAGCAGGAACCGAGAGAGGGACUGUGCUAUUCAAAAUAAUUAA